ensembl:lncRNA
ACCAGCUUCAGUCAAAGGGAUGACUUCAGUCUCUUUCUUAACUAAUCCUGUCACUGUAAAAUCCUACAGUCAUUCUUCCAACAUAAAGGGAAAACGGACUCACUAGGAGGACCUAGACUCUUUCAGCUUGAACUGUUAACCAAUGGUGGAAAUGCAAGAAUGCUGAAGUUGUGCCUUCAGAGCCAAUAGAGUGGAUUUGUGUGUCCCACAUGACUGUGUUUCCCCUGUCUUUCACAUGGGCAGUAUUUAGUUCAAUUCAGAACUGCAGAUAGUAUAGCGUGCAGAACAGCAAUGGGAUGUCUGAGCACAAGUAGCUGACUUCCAGGCGACUUCAGGAAGCAAAUUUGUACAUUUCUCCUGAAUUAUCUGGGAUUCUGCACCCCUGACAUUCUCCAACCCUCCUUUUCGCUGCAGAAGGAGACAGCGACCUGCACAGCACAACGAAACUACAAAUCACCACAGAGCUACAGACCAGCAAUGAAGAGAGCUGAGGGCAAUUUGACCAACAUCAUCCGUGUCGGUUCCCCAGAAGUCGAUGAAACAAGUAAUCAGGUCUCAAGGUACAUCCCAGAGAUUAGCUGCUGUGUCAUUCAAUUAGUAAAUUAUUAAAACAAGAUGUUUUCUUCGAUUACAUUAAGAUACUGGCAGCAGGGAGGGCUAUUACAUUCCAUCGAAGAGUCUGCCUUCCUAAAUUCUCUUGCUUAUUAACACAUCAUUAACAAUGUGCCACCUCAGCCAAAUGACCAGUGGUCUCAGGUACAAAGUAAAGAUCAUUACAGAACAUCACCACCUGCCUCAUUUGAGCAAAUCAAGUAAGUACAUCUGAACCACUGACUGCACAAAAAUAUUCAAAUGCUAGUUUUUCAUCCUCAGCUUUGUGCCUUUUUGCAAGCUCAUAAACCUUCUUCUGAGGAAUCAACAAAACCUUGUAGAGAUAGAGUUAAACAGAGAAGUUCAUGAAACGAAACAAUUUUUCUUUUCAAAUUAACAGGACCCCAGGUAAAUGAUGCCUUUUAAUACAGCACAUGAAAAUUUCAAUUAUGGAAAUCAUUAUUCUAGGCAUUACGUGCCAUUUUAUAUUCCCAGCAGGAUGUUUUUCAUCUCAUCAAGAGUUUCCAAGGCUGUUUAGUGCUCCUGUAUAUGCAAAACACAUUUAAGGGCCCCCAAGAAGAUGUGUUAAUUAAAAAGCCUAGUCAAGUGGUCAGACAGAUUGGAACUUGAGGAUUAUAGGUAAGAGGGAUGAAAUGAAGGCUUGGAAAUUAUAAUUUCUCUUUCUGCGGUAACAGCCAAAGCAGCUGUUAUAAACUGAGCAAAUUAAAGAUGUGGCUGACUGAGCCAGCAGUCUGGAAACAAGACAUUGUAAAAACAUAGCAAGUCAUCUGCACCCCACUUUUAAAAAGCCAAAAGUGCUGACCAUUUCUUUUUUACUCUCUUCCUGUUAUUAUGAUCUGUCACAAAUAUCCUCCAGCUGCUACCCUUCCAGCCCUUGUUCACCAGUUCUAGUUUCCCACCCCCAUCUUAGGGAGUUAAUAGUAAUUCCCAGGACUGUGGACAAGUGCUCCAUAGUGGGAGUA